rnacentral:rRNA from 1 species
UGCGUAGGCGGCUUGGCAAGUUGGGUGUGAAAUCCCUCGGCUCAACCGAGGAAUUGCGCUCAAAACUGCUAAGCUUGAGGGAGAUAGGGGUGAGCGGAACUAAUGGUGGAGCGGUGAAAUGCGUUGAUAUCAUUAGGAACACCGGAGGCGAAAGCGGCUCACUGGGUCUCUUCUGACGCUGAGCACGAAAGCUAGGGGAGCGAACG